rnacentral:lncRNA from 1 species
GAUAAUAAGAUGAUCAAAAUACAAGAAAACGACGAGUAGUCAAUGAAAAGUACUACCAACAGAAUGUGAGAAUGCGUGCUCUUUCUCCUCAAAUGUCCAAACCACCUAGGUCUCGCUUCCAAAAUCUUGUAAUAGGGGUUAUACUCACCUUGUCACGAAUAACUUCAUUAUUAAUCCUAUCUAACUUGGUGUCUGCUCAUCCAUCUUAUCAUUUUCAUAUUGCCUUCAAAAUAAUAAAAAAUCCCUUCUAAUUAAUGCUUCAAAAUAAGCUUUUCAUUGCAUGUUUUAUGUCAUGGGUUGCUUUUCAUACACGCCUCAU